UCUCCGUUGGUGAACCAGUGGAGGGAUCAUUACCGAGUUUACAACUCCCAAACCCCUAUGUGAACGUUACCAAACUGUUGCCUCGGCGGGAAAUUCAUGCCCCGGGCGCGUCGCAGCCCCGGACCAAGGCGCCCGCCGGAGGACCAACCAAAACUCUUUUGUAUGUCCCUCGCGGACUUUUAUAAUUCUGAACCAUCUCGGCGCCCCUAGCGGGCGUUUCGAAAAUGAAUCAAAACUUUCAACAACGGAUCUCUUGGUUCUG
rnacentral:misc_RNA from 1 species